UACGAAGGGGGCUAGCGUUGUUCGGAAUUACUGGGCGUAAAGGGCGCGUAGGUGGCCUGCUAAGUCGAACGUGAAAUCCCUGGGCUCAACCCAGGAACUGCGUCCGAUACUGGUUGGCUUGAAUCCGGGAGAGGGAUGUGGAAUUCCAGGUGUAGCGGUGAAAUGCGUAGAUAUCUGGAGGAACACCGGUGGCGAAGGCGACAUCCUGGACCGGUAUUGACGCUGAGGCGCGAAAGCCAGGGGAGCAAACGGG
rnacentral:rRNA from 1 species